rnacentral:rRNA from 1 species
UUAAUGAGAGUUUGAUCCUGGCUCAGGACGAACGCUGGCGGCGUGCCUAAUACAUGCAAGUAGAACGCUGAAGAGAGGAGCUUCUCUUC